UACGUAGGGUGCGAGCGUUAAUCGGAAUUACUGGGCGUAAAGCGUGCGCAGGCGGCUUGCCAAGUCAGAUGUGAAAGCCCCGGGCUCAACCCGGGAACUGCGUUUGAAACUGGCAGGCUAGAGUUUGGCAGAGGGGGGUGGAAUUCCACGUGUAGCGGUGAAAUGCGUAGAUAUGUGGAGGAACACCAGUGGCGAAGGCGGGUCUCUGGGCCGAUACUGACGCUGAGGAGCGAAAGCGUGGGGAGCGAACAGG
rnacentral:rRNA from 1 species